rnacentral:sRNA from 1 species
GCUGGGCGUGGUGGUGCACACCUGUAAUCCCUGCAGCUCAGGAGGCUGAGACAGGAGGACAGAAAGUUCUGAGGCCAGCUUCAGCAACUAAAUGAGGUUCUAAGCACCUUAGUGAGACCCUGUCUCAA